GAGGGUGUAGCUCAGUGGUAGAGUACAUGCUUAUGCAUGAGGUCCUGGGUUCAAUCCCCAGUGCUUCCA
rnacentral:tRNA from 1 species